rnacentral:rRNA from 1 species
AUGUUAUACACGGGACGGCCCAAUUGCUCGGGUGCUCACAGCGAUGAGCUUGCUGCUGCCUCAAGGCUGGAAGAUUUCAACAGUUUGUACCGGGCUGUCAACUUCUACCAGACUACCAGUCUUGACGUAGCUAGGCUUUUCCACAUUGACACGGAAGCAAAGCGCCCAUCUCUAGUCCUGCUCAACAAGGAUGAGGAGAAGUUGACCGUAUGUUAUGGCGAGUUCAGGGCGUCUGCGAUUGCCGAGUUUGUUUCGGCCAACAAGAUCCCAUUGAUCACAUACCACCCUCACAUAGGAAGCCGCCCCUCCGAUGUUUGA